rnacentral:lncRNA from 1 species
CGCCAUGUUGAUUUGUCCUUUUUGUUUAUGACCGAAGGUCUUUUCGAGACCAUUCAAAUUUGACGCUUUCUUCCGGUGCUAGAGCUUGGAGCCCGAACUUCUCGUUACUUUGAGGAAGUCUAUUUUCUCCUGCCAAUGUUGGGUUCUCCCUUAGAGCUUGGACCGCAAAAUUGUGCACGGUCCAUGAUGGACUGCGAUUGGAUAGCAGGCCUGUACCUGCUUGUAGGCUGCACCCACACGUCUGGGCCGGCCCAAUGCUGUGGCCCAUGCACGUCGAGCGCCUGGCUGGGCC